AGAGUUUGAUCAUGGCUCAGAAUUAACGCUGGCGGCAUGCCUAACACAUGCAAGUCGCACGAGAAAGCCCCUUUCGGGGGGCAAGUACAGUGGCGCACGGGUGAGUAACGCGUGGAUAAUCUACCUCUAUCUGGGGGAUAACGUACCGAAAGGUGCGCUAAUACCGCAUAUUCCGGCAGUUUUGCGAAUCAGUCGGUAAAGAUGGCCUCUUCAUGAAAGCUAUCGGGUGGAGAUGAGUCCGCGUCCCAUUAGCUAGUUGGUAGGGUAAUGGCCUACCAAGGCGACGAUGGGUAGCUGGUCUGAGAGGACGAUCAGCCACACUGGAACUGGAACACGGUCCAGACUCCUACGGGAGGCAGCAGUGAGGAAUAUUGCGCAAUGGGGGAAACCCUGACGCAGCGAUGCCGCGUGGGUGAAGAAGGCCUUCGGGUCGUAAAGCCCUGUCAAGCGGGAAGAACAGCCUUGGGACGAAUAAUCCCGGGGCCUGACGGUACCGCUGAAGGAAGCACCGGCUAACUCCGUGCCAGCAGCCGCGGUAAGACGGAGGGUGCAAGCGUUAUUCGGAUUUAUUGGGCGUAAAGAGUGUGUAGGCGGCCGGUCAAGCCAGAUGUGAAAGCCCAGGGCUUAACCCUGGAAGUGCAUUUGGAACUGGUUGGCUUGAGUUCGGGAGAGGGAAGUGGAAUUCCGGGUGUAGAGGUGAAAUUCGUAGAUAUCCGGAGGAACACCGGUGGCGAAGGCGACUUCCUGGACCGAAACUGACGCUGAGACACGAAAGCGUGGGGAGCAAACAGGAUUAGAUACCCUAGUAGUCC
rnacentral:rRNA from 1 species